UACGGUUAAAGGGUUAUUUCGCAUUUUUUGCCGAUCCGCACACAUUGGAAUUUCGCUAACUCCUCCGAAGGCUUUCGUUCCACCGGCACCACAUUUGCUCAGGCCAAUCUACACCCCGUGGCCAUUAAAAGUUAUUCAAAUCAUGACGCUGCACCCCACGGUUUAGGUUCUAGGGGGCGCCAAAGAUAACCCUAAAAUCCACAUAUUUAAAAGUCUUAUAACUUUUUAUUUUUGUCCUCACUGGCCUCCAAGUUUUCUAGGAUGAUGCAAUGUCCAGCCAUCAACACAUUUGUGAAGGAAUUUUUACUCCCCAAAAGAGCGCCCCCCCAUGGCAGGAGAAAAAAGUCCAUUUUUUCUUGUCCCCUAAGGUGAAAAUACAUAUUGUUGAGAUUCACGCCUAUACGCUUUGUCAUAUUGACACAAAAUUUGACACUCACGUGCCUUGCCUGGUAUCAUUUUUUUCAGCACAACCUCACCUGUGCGAAUUUACAGUUAUUUUAUCAUGUUGACAUACUGAAUUUACACAAUGGACCCAAAUUCACACACAAAACAUAAAAUCCGAGUGGAAAAAAGUAACAUUUUUACUGUGAAAACCACAAAUAUGUGUGAUGAACUGUUUUUAAAACUUAAACUUCAAAUAAAAAUUGUAAACUUCAAAACAUAUGCAAAUUUUUAACAAAGAACAUAGUGAUUUACCUCUAUUUACAUCAAAAUGCAGGCAAUGGCCCAGGCGUUCUUUGUAAAAUUAUUUACAAAACACUGUAUAGUCUCACAAAUGUCACUUUUUAUUUAUGCCACUACAAAAAAACAUGAUGUAAAUGAUGCAUGAUGUAAAACAUGAUGUAAAAAACUUGUGUAGAUCCUCCUCUAUGUCAGUCCAUGUGUAAUUUUUCCAUAAUUCUUUGUUUUUUGCAGCAUUUUUGUUAGUGUAACCGCAGAUUGUGCUGACAGUGUCUAUGGCACAAAAAAAAAAAAAAAUUAAAAUGCCUCAACAUGAACCCCUGGUGGUCUCUGAGGGUGAAACCUGCUAACUGCUGCAGCUCUGUCAGCUUCAGUCUCCCAUGCAGAGCUCUGAGCGCAUGUGUGGCUCUGCACCCUUAGCAGCGUUGCUAACUCCUCAGUAAGGAAAGCCUGCUUCAUGUCAGAGUCUCUAAACUCCAGAAGAAGUCGAUAAAAGUCCCUUUCUUUCUAAAAAAAAAGUCGUUAGGGGGUCUGAAAAGUCAUUGAAUCUAACAACAAAGUCGCUAGGUUUGCAACUACGUGUCCCAGACUGCAUCCCUGCUGAGAGUCCCUCCCUCCCUUCUCAUGUUGCAGGAAGAACGUAAGCGCCCGCCCCUUGUCAAUCAGUCACCAUAUAAUUUUGGAUUGGUUGUUGUGGUGAAGUUUUCCACCAAUAGGAGAGAUGUUGUGGUGUGUUUUUUUUUUUCUUUUGGCAAGCCUUUUCCGCCUGUAAGACCUGUCGCUAAUGUCUGCAUGCUAUGUUUUCCUGUCUCAUACAGCGCGAUCGAGCGCCGAACGUGAUCAAAAUAAGCAGAAAAAAAGUAUCGCGGACAUAAUUUAUCAUAACUCUGGUUUUAUUUGGCCUAUCAACACAAUUUAAAAACUGGUAUAUAGGUUGAGGUCCUCACUUUUGAGAUAAGUUGAAACGGAGAGUCAACGAGGCUCCGUCUUGCAGCUACAUCCGGUUAAAUAUGUCAUGUGACUUGAACGCACACACAGACACACACACACGCACACACACACACACACACACACACACACACACACACACACACACACACACACACUCAGAGUCUGUUUUUUAGCACCAGCAAAAACAUGCUAUUUACAUAUUUGACAAGAAUGCAGAGGCUCCUUUUGCCCCUGAAAAAAAUCAAAUUUCAAACACAACUUGACUGGUCAUUUCUCCAAAAGACAACCAUGAAGCUCCAUCCAAACCUGAAGCAGGCAGUUGGUGCAUGUGUACAGUAACCUGAGGGGAGUGAGGUGAGUGCUUCUGAGGAGAACAUGAGCAGUGAAGAUUCACCUUGGAGCUAGAACAGAGACAUGCACAUGAUUAUACAGGGGCAGGGGCUCAAGUUUUUUCCAGUCGUUUAUACAAUAUGGAAAUUAAUGUGAAAUUAAAACACAAAGUAUUAAUAGAAAGGUAAUGACUGUCCUGUGUAGGUGACAGUGAUAUCCAAUAGGCUAGGCACUCACGAGGCUGGCUGUGGCAAGUGUAAGUGAAAGCAACACGCACUGGCAGGAAGAACAGCAAACGCCGAUGAAGGAAAAGGGUCUUUGCAGUGAUGGGCGUUACCAGAGAGGGCGAUGGCCAGAGGACACAAAUGGGACGGGGAGGCAGCACGUUGGGGGGGGGGGACGCGACACGGCUCGGGCCCGCCAGUGCCCCAACGGGGUCCUAGUCUUUGUUUCUUUCUUAGGGCCCGAGCGUAGCUGCUAAGCAGCUGCGAGAGCCCUCUUGUUCCUGAUGGAUUCUUCUUUUUAGGGCCCGAGCCAGCUGCAGAGCAGCCGGGCGUCGGCCCUAUUAUUCCCCAAGUGGUUUUUCUUUGUUUCUUUAGGGCCCGAGCGUAGCUGCUAAGCAGCUGCGAGAGCCCUCUUGUUCCUGAUGGAUUCUUCUUUUGUUAUUAUUAGGGCCCGAGCGUAGCUGCUAAGCAGCUGCGAGAGCCCUCUUGUUCCUGAUGGAUUCUUCUUUCGUUAUUUUUCCUCCGCUUUUAACUGGAAAAUGGCCCACUUCCCACUGGCGAAAACUCAGAAAAUUUGGCAGGAUGACCGGGCCUGGUGAAAAAUUUGAUAUUCUGAAGUCGUCCAAACAAAAAAAUGAAAAAUGGCUCCAUAGCGCCCCCUAUGGUGAAAACUCACCUGAUGCCUGUACGCUUUGUCAAAAUGACACAAAAUUUGACACACAUGUGUAUCUCAAUAAGAUCUACGAAAAAGUCAGUGCGGGCGUAUCUGUCAAAUGUACGGUUAAAGGGCUAUUUCGCUUUUUUUGCCGAUCCGCACACAUUGGAAUUUCGCUAACUCCUCCAAAGGCUUUCGUUCCACCGGCACCAAAUUUGCUCAGGCCAAUCUACACCCCAUGGCCAUUAAAAGUUAUUCAAAUCAUGACGCUGCACCCCACGGUUUAGGUUCUAGGGGGCGCCAAAGAUAACCCUAAAAUCCACAUAUUUCAAAGUCUUAUAACUUUUUAUUUUUGUCCUCACUGGCCUCCAAGUUUUCUAGGAUGAUGCAAUGUCCAGCCAUCAACACAUUUGUGAAGGAGUUUUUUCUCGUUAAAAGAGCGUCCCCCCAUGGCAGGAGAAUAAAGUCAAGUUUUUCCUGUUCAUCAUUCAAUGGCUCAAACGCACUGCUCUCUCGGCAAAAGCGAAAGGAGGAGCAACUUGCCAUUUGGAUAUAUCUUAGCUGUGUUUGUGCCCUCACUCAUGGUCCAGACUUUUUUCAAAUAGGACAUGGAGUUUUUCUGCAGCGAGCGUUUUGGUAGAAACUGCGCCUCCCGUUCAUUAUAAUGGUAAAUGACCACAAACAAGUGCGCACACCAUCUUUGGACCUUGAGUGUGACGCGAUCGGGUGGGGGAGGCGGUCGCGCUGGGGGCGGCGUGACACGGCUCGGGCCCGCCAGUGCCCCAACGGGGCCCUAGUUAUUAUUUUUCCUCCCCUUUGAACUGGAAAAUGGCCCACUUCCCACCCGCGAAAACUCAUGAAAUUUGGCAGGACGACCGGGCCUGGUGAAAAAUUUGAUAUUCCGAAGUCGCCCAAACAAGAAAAUGCAAAAUGGCUCCAUAGCGCCCCCUAAGGUGAAAAUUCACACUAUUGACUGUCACGCCUGUACGCUUUGUCAAAAUGACACAAAAAUUGACACACACAUGUAUCUCAGUAAGAUCUACAAAAAAGUCAGUGCGGGCGUAUCUGUCAAAUGUACGGUUAAAGGGUUAUUUCGCAUUUUUUGCCGAUCCGCACACAUUGGAAUUUCGCUAACUCCUCCGAAGGCUUUCGUUCCACCAGCACCACAUUUGCUCAGGCCAAUCUACACCCCAUGGCCAUUAAAAGUUAUUCAAAUCAUGACGCUGCACCCCAAGGUUUAGGUUCUAGGGGGCGCCAAAGAUAACCCUAAGAUCCACAUAUUUAAAAGUCUUAUAACUUUUUAUUUUUGCCCUCACUGGCCUCCAAGUUUUCUAGGAUGAUGCAAUGUCCAGCCAUCAACACAUUUGUGAAGGAAUCUUUACUCCCCAAAAGAGCGCCCCCCCAUGGCAGGAGAAAAAAGUCAAUUUUUUCUUGUCCCCUAAGGUGGAAAUUCACACUAUUGACUGUCACGCCUGUACGCUUUAUCAUAUUGACACAAAAAUUGACACACAUAUGUAUCUCAAUAAGAUCUACAAAAAAGUCAAUUCGCGCGUAUCUGUCAAAUGUACGGUUAAAGGGCUAUUUUGCAUUUUUUGCCGAUUCGCACACAUUGGAAUGUGGCUAACUCCUCCUAAGGCUUUCGUCCCACUGACACCAAAUUUGCUCAGGCCAAUCUACACCCCAUGGCCAUUCAAAGUUGUAAAAAUCAUGACGCUGCACCCCACGGUUUACGUUCUAGGGGGCGCCAAAGAUGACCCAAAAAUCCACAUUCUUAAAAGAAUCCACAUCCCCCCCCAUGGCAGGAGAAAAAGUCAAGUUUUUCCUGCCCAUCGCUCAAUGGCUCAAUCGCAUCGCUCUCCAGGCAACACCGUAAGGAGGAGCAACCUGGCAUUUCGAUCUAUCAUAGCUGUGUUUGUGCCCUCACUCAUGGUCCAGACUUUUUUCAAAUAGGACAUGAAGUUUGUCUGCAGCGAGUGUUUUGGUAGAAACUGCGCCUCCCAUUCAUUAUAAUGGGAAAUGACCACAGACAAGUGCGCACACCAUCUUUGGUUCUUGAGUGUGACUCGAUCGGGACGGGGAGGCGGUCGCACUGGGGGCGGCGCGACGCGGCUCGGGCCCGACAGUGCCCCAUCGGGGCCCUAGUUUCUUUCUUUCUUUCUUUCUUCUUUUUCCUCCCCUUUGAACUGGAAAAUGGCCCACUUCCCACCCGCGAAAACUCAUGAAAUUUGGCAGGACGACCGGGCCUGGUGAAAAAUUCGAUAUUCUGAAGUCGCCCAAACAAUAAAAUGCAAAAUGGCUCCAUAGCGCCCCCUAAGGUGGAAAUUCACACUAUUGACUGUCACGCCUGUACGCUUUUUCAUAUUGACACAAAAAUUGACACACAUAUGUAUCUCAAUAAGAUCUACAAAAAAGUCAGUGCGGCCGUAUCUGUCAAAAUUACGGUUAAAGGGUUAUUUCGCAUUUUUUGCCGAUCCGCACACAUUGGAAUUUCGCUAACUCCUCCGAAGGCUUUCGUUCCACCGGCACAACAUUUGCUCAGGCCAAUCUACACCCCGUGGCCAUUAAAAGUUAUUCAAAUCAUGACGCUGCACCCCACGGUUUAGGUUCUAGGGGGCGCCAAAGAUAACCCUAAAAUCCACAUAUUUAAAAGUCUUAUAACUUUUUAUUUUUGUCCUCACUGGCCUCCAAGUUUUCUAGGAUGAUGCAAUGUCCAGCCAUCAACACAUUUGUGAAGGAAUUUUUACUCCCCAAAAGAGCGCCCCCCCAUGGCAGGAGAAAAAAGUCCAUUUUUUCUUGUCCCCUAAGGUGAAAAUACAUAUUGUUGAGAUUCACGCCUAUACGCUUUGUCAUAUUGACACAAAAUUUGACACUCACGUGCCUUGCCUGGUAUCAUUUUUUUCAGCACAACCUCACCUGUGCGAAUUUACAGUUAUUUUAUCAUGUUGACAUACUGAAUUUACACAAUGGACCCAAAUUCACACACAAAACAUAAAAUCCGAGUGGAAAAAAGUAACAUUUUUACUGUGAAAACCACAAAUAUGUGUGAUGAACUGUUUUUAAAACUUAAACUUCAAAUAAAAAUUGUAAACUUCAAAACAUAUGCAAAUUUUUAACAAAGAACAUAGUGAUUUACCUCUAUUUACAUCAAAAUGCAGGCAAUGGCCCAGGCGUUCUUUGUAAAAUUAUUUACAAAACACUGUAUAGUCUCACAAAUGUCACUUUUUAUUUAUGCCACUACAAAAAAACAUGAUGUAAAUGAUGCAUGAUGUAAAACAUGAUGUAAAAAACUUGUGUAGAUCCUCCUCUAUGUCAGUCCAUGUGUAAUUUUUCCAUAAUUCUUUGUUUUUUGCAGCAUUUUUGUUAGUGUAACCGCAGAUUGUGCUGACAGUGUCUAUGGCACAAAAAAAAAAAAAAAUUAAAAUGCCUCAACAUGAACCCCUGGUGGUCUCUGAGGGUGAAACCUGCUAACUGCUGCAGCUCUGUCAGCUUCAGUCUCCCAUGCAGAGCUCUGAGCGCAUGUGUGGCUCUGCACCCUUAGCAGCGUUGCUAACUCCUCAGUAAGGAAAGCCUGCUUCAUGUCAGAGUCUCUAAACUCCAGAAGAAGUCGAUAAAAGUCCCUUUCUUUCUAAAAAAAAAGUCGUUAGGGGGUCUGAAAAGUCAUUGAAUCUAACAACAAAGUCGCUAGGUUUGCAACUACGUGUCCCAGACUGCAUCCCUGCUGAGAGUCCCUCCCUCCCUUCUCAUGUUGCAGGAAGAACGUAAGCGCCCGCCCCUUGUCAAUCAGUCACCAUAUAAUUUUGGAUUGGUUGUUGUGGUGAAGUUUUCCACCAAUAGGAGAGAUGUUGUGGUGUGUUUUUUUUUUUCUUUUGGCAAGCCUUUUCCGCCUGUAAGACCUGUCGCUAAUGUCUGCAUGCUAUGUUUUCCUGUCUCAUACAGCGCGAUCGAGCGCCGAACGUGAUCAAAAUAAGCAGAAAAAAAGUAUCGCGGACAUAAUUUAUCAUAACUCUGGUUUUAUUUGGCCUAUCAACACAAUUUAAAAACUGGUAUAUAGGUUGAGGUCCUCACUUUUGAGAUAAGUUGAAACGGAGAGUCAACGAGGCUCCGUCUUGCAGCUACAUCCGGUUAAAUAUGUCAUGUGACUUGAACGCACACACAGACACACACACACACACACACACACACACACACACACACACACACACACACACACACACACACACACACACACUCAGAGUCUGUUUUUUAGCACCUGCAAAAACAUGCUAUUUACAUAUUUGACAAGAAUGCAGAGGCUCCUUUUGCCCCUGAAAAAAAUCAAAUUUCAAACACAACUUGACUGGUCAUUUCUCCAAAAGACAACCAUGAAGCUCCAUCCAAACCUGAAGCAGGCAGUUGGUGCAUGUGUACAGUAACCUGAGGGGAGUGAGGUGAGUGCUUCUGAGGAGAACAUGAGCAGUGAAGAUUCACCUUGGAGCUAGAACAGAGACAUGCACAUGAUUAUACAGGGGCAGGGGCUCAAGUUUUUUCCAGUCGUUUAUACAAUAUGGAAAUUAAUGUGAAAUUAAAACACAAAGUAUUAAUAGAAAGGUAAUGACUGUCCUGUGUAGGUGACAGUGAUAUCCAAUAGGCUAGGCACUCACGAGGCUGGCUGUGGCAAGUGUAAGUGAAAGCAACACGCACUGGCAGGAAGAACAGCAAACGCCGAUGAAGGAAAAGGGUCUUUGCAGUGAUGGGCGUUACCAGAGAGGGCGAUGGCCAGAGGACACAAAUGGGACGGGGAGGCAGCACGUUGGGGGGGGGGGACGCGACACGGCUCGGGCCCGCCAGUGCCCCAACGGGGUCCUAGUCUUUGUUUCUUUCUUAGGGCCCGAGCGUAGCUGCUAAGCAGCUGCGAGAGCCCUCUUGUUCCUGAUGGAUUCUUCUUUUUAGGGCCCGAGCCAGCUGCAGAGCAGCCGGGCGUCGGCCCUAUUAUUCCCCAAGUGGUUUUUCUUUGUUUCUUUAGGGCCCGAGCGUAGCUGCUAAGCAGCUGCGAGAGCCCUCUUGUUCCUGAUGGAUUCUUCUUUUGUUAUUAUUAGGGCCCGAGCGUAGCUGCUAAGCAGCUGCGAGAGCCCUCUUGUUCCUGAUGGAUUCUUCUUUCGUUAUUUUUCCUCCGCUUUUAACUGGAAAAUGGCCCACUUCCCACUGGCGAAAACUCAGAAAAUUUGGCAGGAUGACCGGGCCUGGUGAAAAAUUUGAUAUUCUGAAGUCGUCCAAACAAAAAAAUGAAAAAUGGCUCCAUAGCGCCCCCUAUGGUGAAAACUCACCUGAUGCCUGUACGCUUUGUCAAAAUGACACAAAAUUUGACACACAUGUGUAUCUCAAUAAGAUCUACGAAAAAGUCAGUGCGGGCGUAUCUGUCAAAUGUACGGUUAAAGGGCUAUUUCGCUUUUUUUGCCGAUCCGCACACAUUGGAAUUUCGCUAACUCCUCCAAAGGCUUUCGUUCCACCGGCACCAAAUUUGCUCAGGCCAAUCUACACCCCAUGGCCAUUAAAAGUUGUACAAAUCAUGACGCUGCACCCCACGGUUUAGGUUCUAGGCGGCGCCAAAUAUAACCCAAAAAUCCACAUUCUUAAAAGUCUUAUAACUUUUUAUUUUUGUCCUCACUGGCCUCCAAGGUUUCUAGGAUGAUGCAAUGUCCAGCCAUCAACACAUUUGUGAAGGAAUUUUUACUCCCCAAAAGAGCGCCCCCCCAUGGCAGGAGAAAAAAGUCAAUUUUUUCUUGUCUCCUAAGGUAAAAAUACACAUUGUUGAGUGUCACGCCUAUACACUUUGUCAUAUUGACACACAAUUUGACAAUCACGUGUAUCUCAAUAAGAUCUACAAAAAAGUCAAUAGGCACGUAUCUGUCAAAUGUACGGUUAAAGGGCUAUUUCGCAUUUUUUGCCGAUUCGCACACAUUGGAAUGUGGCUAUUUCCUCCUAAGGCUUUCGUCCCACUGAUACCAAAUUUGCUCAGGGCAAUCUACACCCCAUGCCCAUUCAAAGUUGUAAAAAUCAUGCCGCUGCACCCCACGGUUUACGUUCUAGGGGGCGCCAAAGAUGACCCAAAAAUCCACAUUCUUAAAAGUCUUUUUGGUCACUGCAGGAGUACAGAGUACUGCAAGAUACACACACACACACACACACACACACACACACACACACACACACACACACACACAGAGUCUGUUUUUUAGCACCUGCAAAAACAUGCUGUUUACAUAUUUGACAAGAAUGCAGAGGCUUCCUUUUGCCCCUGAAAAAAAUCAAAUUUCAAACACAACUUGACUGUUCAUUUCUCCAAAUGACAACCAUGAAGCUCCAUCCAAACCUGAAGCAGGCAGUUGGUGCAUGUGUACAGUAACCUGAGGGGAGUGAGGUGACUGCUUCUGAGGAGAACAUGAGCAGUGAAGAUUCACCUUGGAGCGAGAACAGGGACGUGCACAUGAUUAUGCAGGGGCAGGGGCUCAAGUUUUUUCCAGUCGUUUAUACAAUAUGGAAAUUAAUGUGAAAUUAAAAAACAAAGUAUUAAUAGAAAGGUAAUGACUGUCCUGUGUAGGUGACGGUAAUAUCCAAUAGGCUAGGCACUCACGAGGCUGGCUGUGGCAAGUGUAAGUGAAAGCAACACGCACUGGCAGGAAGAACAGCAAACGCCGAUGAAGGAAAAGGGUCUUUGCAGUGAUGGGCGUUACCAGAGAGGACGAUGGCCAGAGGACGCGAAUGGGACGGGGAGGCAGCGCGUUGGGGGGGGGGGGGGGCGCGACACAGCUCGGGCCCGCCAGUGCCCCAACGGGGCCCUAGUUAUUAUUAUUUUUCCUCCGCUUUAAACUGGAAAAUGGCCCACUUCCCACUGGCGAAAACUCAGGAAAUUUGGCAGGACGACCGGGCCUGGUGAAAAAUUCGAUAUUCUGAAAUCGCCCAAACAAUAAAAUACAAAAUGGCUCCAUAGCGCCCCCUAAGGUGAAAAUUCACACUAUUGACUGUCACGCCUGUACGCUUUGUCAUAUUGACACAAAAAUUGACACACACAUGUAUCUCAAUAAGAUCUACAAAAAAGUCAGUGCGGGCGUAUCUGUCAAAUGUACGGUUAAAGGGUUAUUUCGCAUUUUUUGCAGAUCCGCACACAUUGGAAUUUCGCUAACUCCUCCAAAGGCUUUCGUUCCACCGGCACCACAUUUGCUCAGGCCAAUCUACACUCCAUGGCCAUUCAAAGUUGUACAAAUCAUGAUGCUGCACCCCAUGGUUUAGGUUCUAGGGGGCGCCAAAAAUAACCCUAAAAUCCACAUUCUUAAAAGUUUUAUAACUUUUUAUUUUUGCCCUCACUGGCCUCCAAGUUUUCUAGGAUGAUGCAAUGUCCAGCCAUCAACACAUUUGUGAAGGAAUUUUUACUCCCCAAAAGAGCGCCCCCCCAUGGCAGGAGAAAAAAGUCCAUUUUUUCUUGUCCCCUAAGGUGAAAAUACACAUUGUUGAGUGUCACGCCUAUACGCUUUGUCAAAAUGACACAAAAAUUGACACACACAUGUAACUCAAUAAGAUCUACGAAAAAGUCAAUGCGCGCGUAUCUGUCAAAUGUACGGUUAAAGGGUUAUUCCGCAUUUUUUGCCGAUCCGCACACAUUGGAAUGUGGCUAAUUCCUCCUAAGGCUUUCGUUCCACCGGCACCACAUUUGCUCAGGCCAAUCUACACCCCAUGGCCAUUAAAAGUUAUUCAAAUCAUGACGCUGCACCCCACGGUUUAGGUUCUAGGGGGCGCCAAAGAUAACCCUAAAAUCCACAUAUUUAAAAGUCUUAUAACUUUUUAUUUUUGUCCUCACUGGCCUCCAAGUUUUCUAGGAUGAUGCAAUGUCCAGCCAUCAACACAUUUGUGAAGGAAUUUUUACUCCCCAAAAGAGCGCCCCCCCAUGGCAGGAGAAAAAAGUCCAUUUUUUCUUGUCCCCUAAGGUGAAAAUACAUAUUGUUGAGAUUCACGCCUAUACGCUUUGUCAUAUUGACACAAAAUUUGACAAUCACGUGCCUUGCCUGGUAUCAUUUUUUUCAGCACAACCUCACCUGUGCGAAUUUACAGUUAUUUUAUCAUGUUGACAUACUGAAUUUACACAAUGGACCCAAAUUCACACACAAAACAUAAAAUCCGAGUGGAAAAAAGUAACAUUUUUACUGUGAAAACCACAAAUAUGUGUGAUGAACUGUUUUUAAAACUUAAACUUCAAAUAAAAAUUGUAAACUUCAAAACAUAUGCAAAUUUUUAACAAAGAACAUAGUGAUUUACCUCUAUUUACAUCAAAAUGCAGGCAAUGGCCCAGGCGUUCUUUGUAAAAUUAUUUACAAAACACUGUAUAGUCUCACAAAUGUCACUUUUUAUUUAUGCCACUACAAAAAAACAUGAUGUAAAUGAUGCAUGAUGUAAAACAUGAUGUAAAAAACUUGUGUAGAUCCUCCUCUAUGUCAGUCCAUGUGUAAUUUUUCCAUAAUUCUUUGUUUUUUGCAGCAUUUUUGUUAGUGUAACUGCAGAUUGUGCUGACAGUGUCUAUGGCACAAAAAAAAAAAAAAUUUAAAAUGCCUCAACAUGAACCCCUGGUGGUCUCUGAGGGUGAAACCUGCUAACUGCUGCAGCUCUGUCAGCUUCAGUCUCCCAUGCAGAGCUCUGAGCGCAUGUGUGGCUCUGCACCCUUAGCAACGUUGCUAACUCCUCAGUAAGGAAAGCCUGCUUCAUGUCAGAGUCUCUAAACUCCAGAAGAAGUCGAUAAAAGUCCCUUUCUUUCUAAAAAAAAGUCGUUAGGGGGUCUGAAAAGUCAUUGAAUCUAACAACAAAGUCGCUAGGUUUGCAACUACGUGUCCCAGACUGCAUCCCUGCUGAGAGUCCCUCCCUCCCUUCUCAUGUUGCAGGAAGAACGUAAGCGCCCGCCCCUUGUCAAUCAGUCACCAUAUAAUUUUGGAUUGGUUGUUGUGGUGAAGUUUUCCACCAAUAGGAGAGAUGUUGUGGUGUGUUUUUUUUUUCUUUUGGCAAGCCUUUUCCGCCUGUAAGACCUGUCGCUAAUGUCUGCAUGCUAUGUUUUCCUGUCUCAUACAGCGCGAUCGAGCGCCGAACGUGAUCAAAAUAAGCAGAAAAAAAGUAUUGCGGACAUAAUUUAUCAUAACUCUGGUUUUAUUUGGCCUAUCAACACAAUUUAAAAACUGGUAUAUAGGUUGAGGUCCUCACUUUUGAGAUAAGUUGAAACGGAGAGUCAACGAGGCUCCGUCUUGCAGCUACAUCCGGUUAAAUAUGUCAUGUGACUUGAACGCACACACAGACACACACACACGCACACACACACACACACACACACUCAGAGUCUGGUUUUUAGCACCUGCAAAAACAUGCUAUUUACAUAUUUGACAAGAAUGCAGAGGCUCCUUUUGCCCCUGAAAAAAAUCAAAUUUCAAACACAACUUGACUGGUCAUUUCUCCAAAAGACAACCAUGAAGCUCCAUCCAAACCUGAAGCAGGCAGUUGGUGCAUGUGUACAGUAACCUGAGGGGAGUGAGGUGAGUGCUUCUGAGGAGAACAUGAGCAGUGAAGAUUCACCUUGGAGCUAGAACAGAGACAUGCACAUGAUUAUACAGGGGCAGGGGCUCAAGUUUUUUCCAGUCGUUUAUACAAUAUGGAAAUUAAUGUGAAAUUAAAACACAAAGUAUUAAUAGAAAGGUAAUGACUGUCCUGUGUAGGUGACAGUGAUAUCCAAUAGGCUAGGCACUCACGAGGCUGGCUGUGGCAAGUGUAAGUGAAAGCAACACGCACUGGCAGGAAGAACAGCAAACGCCGAUGAAGGAAAAGGGUCUUUGCAGUGAUGGGCGUUACCAGAGAGGGCGAUGGCCAGAGGACACAAAUGGGACGGGAAGGCAGCACGUUGGGGGGGGGGACGCGACACGGCUCGGGCCCGCCAGUGCCCCAACGGGGUCCUAGUUAGGGCCCGAGCGUAGCUGCUAAGCAGCUGCGAGAGCCCUCUUGUUCCUGCAUGUUUCCUUCUUUUGUUAUUAUUAUUUUUACCUCCCAUUCAUUAUAAUGGUAAAUGACCACAGACAAGUGCGCACACCAUCUUUGGUUCUUGAGUGUGACUCGAUCGGGACGGGGAGGCGGUCGCACUGGGGGCGGCGCGACGCGGCUCGGGCCCGACAGUGCCCCACCGGGGCCCUAGUUAUUAUUUUUCCUCCCCUUUGAACUGGAAAAUGGCCCACUUCCCACUGGCGAAAACUCAUGAAAUUUGGCAGGACGACCGGGCCUGGUGAAAAAUUUGAUAUUCCGAAGUCGCCCAAACAAGAAAAUGCAAAAUGGCUCCAUAGCGCCCCCUAAGGUGAAAAUUCACACUAUUGACUGUCACGCCUGUACGCUUUGUCAAAAUGACACAAAAAUUGACACACACAUGUAUCUCAAUAAGAUCUACAAAAAAGUCAGUGCGGGCGUAUCUGUCAAAUGUACGGUUAAAGGGUUAUUUCGCAUUUUUUGCCGAUCCGCACACAUUGGAAUUUCGCUAACUCCUCCGAAGGCUUUCGUUCCACCGGCACCACAUUUGCUCAGGUCAAUCUACACCCCAUGUCCAUUAAAAGUUAUUAAAAUCAUGACGCUGCACCCCACGGUUUACGUUCUAGGGGGCGCCAAAGAUAACCCAAAAAUCCACAUUCUUAAAAGUCUUAUAACUUUUUAUUUUUGUCCUCACUGGCCUCCAAGUUUUCUAGGAUGAUGCAAUGUCCAGCCAUCAACACAUUUGUGAAGGAAUUUUUACUCCCCAAAAGAGCGCCCCCCCAUGGCAGGAGAAAAAAGUCAAUUUUUUCUUGUCCCCUAAGGUGAAAAUACACAUUGUUGAGUGUAACACCUGUACGCUUUGGCAAAAUGACACAAAAAUUGACACACACAUGUAUCUCAAUAAGAUCUACGAAAAAGUCAAUGCGCGCGUAUCUGUCAAAUGUACGGUUAAAGGGUUAUUCCGCAUUUUUUGCCGAUCCGCACACAUUGGAAUUUCACUAACUCCUCCGAAGGCUUUCGUUCCACCGGCACCACAUUUGCUCAGGCCAAUCUACACCCCAUGGCCAUUAAAAGUUAUUCAAAUCAUGACGCUGCAUCCCACGGUUUAGGUUCUAGGGGGCGCCAAAGAUAACCCUAAAAUCCACAUAUUUCAAAGUCUUAUAACUUUUUAUUUUUGUCCUCACUGACCUCCAAGUUUUCUAGGAUGAUGCAAUGUCCAGCCAUCAACACAUUUGUGAAGGAAUUUUUACUCCCCAAAAGAGCGCCCCCCAUGGCAGGAGAAAAAAGUCCAUUUUUUCUUGUCCCCUAAGGUGGAAAUUCACACUAUUGACUGUCACGCCUGUACGCUUUAUCAUAUUGACACAAAAAUUGACACACAUAUGUAUCUCAAUAAGAUCUACAAAAAAGUCAAUUCGUGCGUAUCUGUCAAAUGUACGGUUAAAGGGCUAUUUUGCAUUUUUUGCCGAUUCGCACACAUUGGAAUGUGGCUAACUCCUCCUAAGGCUUUCGUCCCACUGACACCAAAUUUGCUCAGGCCAAUCUACACCCCAUGGCCAUUCAAAGUUGUAAAAAUCAUGACGCUGCACCCCACGGUUUACGUUCUAGGGGGCGCCAAAGAUGACCCAAAAAUCCACAUUCUUAAAAGAAUCCACAUCCCCCCCCUAUGGCAGGAGAAAAAGUUUUUCCCUCCCAUCGCUCAAUGGCUCAAUCGCAUCGCUCUCCAGGCAACACCGUAAGGAGGAGCAACCUGGCAUUUCGAUCUAUCAUAGCUGUGUUUGUGCCCUCACUCAUGGUCCAGACUUUUUUCAAAUAGGACAUGAAGUUUGUCUGCAGCGAGUGUUUUGGUAGAAACUGCGCCUCCCAUUCAUUAUAAUGGUAAAUGACCACAGACAAGUGCGCACACCAUCUUUGGUUCUUGAGUGUGACUCGAUCGGGACGGGGAGGCGGUCGCACUGGGGGCGGCGCGACGCGGCUCGGGCCCGACAGUGCCCCACCGGGGCCCUAGUUAUUAUUUUUCCUCCCCUUUGAACUGGAAAAUGGCCCACUUCCCACUGGCGAAAACUCAUGAAAUUUGGCAGGACGACCGGGCCUGGUGAAAAAUUUGAUAUUCCGAAGUCGCCCAAACAAGAAAAUGCAAAAUGGCUCCAUAGCGCCCCCUAAGGUGAAAAUUCACACUAUUGACUGUCACGCCUGUACGCUUUGUCAAAAUGACACAAAAAUUGACACACACAUGUAUCUCAAUAAGAUCUACAAAAAAGUCAGUGCGGGCGUAUCUGUCAAAUGUACGGUUAAAGGGUUAUUUCGCAUUUUUUGCCGAUCCGCACACAUUGGAAUUUCGCUAACUCCUCCGAAGGCUUUCGUUCCACCGGCACCACAUUUGCUCAGGCCAAUCUACACCCCAUGGCCAUUAAAAGUUAUUCAAAUCAUGACGCUGCACCCCACGGUUUAGGUUCUAGGGGGCGCCAAAGAUAACCCUAAGAUCCACAUAUUUAAAAGUCUUAUAACUUUUUAUUUUUGCCCUCACUGGCCUCCAAGUUUUCUAGGAUGAUGCAAUGUCCAGCCAUCAACACAUUUGUGAAGGAAUUUUUACUCCCCAAAAGAGCGCCCCCCCAUGGCAGGAG